rnacentral:tRNA from 1 species
UCCCUGGUGGCUCAGAUGGUAAAGAAUCUGCCUGCAAUACAGGAGACCCAGGUUUGAUCCCUGGAUUGGGAA